UACGUAGGGUGCAAGCGUUGUCCGGAAUUAUUGGGCGUAAAGAGCUCGUAGGCGGUCUGUUACGUCCGCUGUGAAAACCCAGGGCUUAACCCUGGGCUUGCAGUGGAUACGGGUAGACUAGAGGCAGGUAGGGGAGAAUGGAAUUCCCGGUGUAGCGGUGAAAUGCGCAGAUAUCGGGAAGAACACCCGUGGCGAAGGCGGCUCUCUGGGACGGUACUGGACGCUGAGACGCGAAAGCGUGGGGAGCGAACAGG
rnacentral:rRNA from 1 species